GAGCGGGCACUUUCGGGUGUCAGCGGCAGACGGGUGAGUAACACGUGGGAACGUACCCUUUGGUUCGGAAUAACGCUGGGAAACUAGCGCUAAUACCGGAUACGCCCUUUUGGGGAAAGGCUUGCUGCCGAAGGAUCGGCCCGCGUCUGAUUAGCUAGUUGGUGGGGUAAUGGCCUACCAAGGCGACGAUCAGUAGCUGGUCUGAGAGGAUGAUCAGCCACACUGGGACUGAGACACGGCCCAGACUCCUACGGGAGGCAGCAGUGGGGAAUAUUGGACAAUGGGCGCAAGCCUGAUCCAGCCAUGCCGCGUGAGUGAUGAAGGCCUUAGGGUUGUAAAGCUCUUUUGUCCGGGACGAUAAUGACGGUACCGGAAGAAUAAGCCCCGGCUAACUUCGUG
rnacentral:rRNA from 1 species